UACGUAGGCAGCAAGCGUUGUUCGGAAUUACUGGGCGUAAAGAGUGUGUAGGCGGUGCCCUAAGUUUGGUGUGAAAUCUCCCGGCUCAACUGGGAGGGUGCAUCGAAAACUGGGGUGCUCGAGGGUGGGAGAGGUAAGCGGAAUUCCUGGUGUAGCGGUGAAAUGCGUAGAUAUCAGGAGGAACACCUGUGGUGUAGACAGCUUACUGGACCACUUCUGACGCUGAGACACGAAAGCGUGGGUAGCAAACAGG
rnacentral:rRNA from 2 species